CUGAAAUUCGCCCUGUAACUGUGCACACAGAGAGACAGAAGGAAAGGAGUUUGCGUUGUUACCCAGCCGAUCACAGCCUGUUCGGACUCGUCCUGCACUGAAUGAUCAGAGCCACAGGAGCAACUUUAACUCAGGUUACGAAGUGCCGAAGUGGAAAAUGAGGUACUGGUUUCUCCGGCUCACAUGGAGCUUUACUAGAUCACUGGAGCAGGCCUGGGACAGAAAUGUUAGCAGAAGAGCAAGGAGAGAUGAGCCAAGGAAGUAAAGAUGGGAGAAAGAAAAUAAGGAAAAGAAAACCAGACGUGUUGUCAAUUUUUUGUUGUUGUAGACUUGAUGGAGAUUGCUGAAAUCGUUCUACACUCAAUGACCACUAGAUGGAAUAUGUGUUCUGAGUUUUCUAAACAUAUUUAAAAUCUUGAA